rnacentral:lncRNA from 1 species
UUAUCACGUCAUGUCGUCCAUCUGUCGCUCGUCACAUCUCAUCAUUUCACAUUGACUUUCUUUCUCUUCACCAGAUUUUGCCACUUGUUAUAAAUCUAACGAUCCCUAUUUUAUAUAAAUAGGGACCCUCAUUUAACCAUUUCCUCAUCACUUCCACUUUAUUCUUCCAUCCACCAAAGAGUUUUAGAAAGAGAGGGAG